CAUGUGUAUGGAAUUUUGCUCUAUGGGGCAAAGCCUGCCCUACGAAAGCCGCGUCAGGAAGACGGCCCUACGGGUUGUAAACUGCUUUUGUACGGGAAUAAACCCACGCUCGUGAGCGUAGCUGUUAGUACCGUACGAAUAAGGAUCGGCUAACUCCGUG
rnacentral:rRNA from 1 species